CCUACGGGAGGCAGCAGUGAGGAAUAUUGGUCAAUGGACGAGAGUCUGAACCAGCCAAGCAGCGUGAAGGAUGACUGCCCUAUGGGUUGUAAACUUCUUUUAUAUGGGAAUAAAAUGUUCCACGUGUGGGAUUUUGUAUGUACCAUAUGCAUAAGGAUCGGCUAACUCCUGGCCAGCAGCCGCGGUAAUACGGAGGAUGCGAGCGUUAUCCGGAUUUAUUGGGUUUAAAGGGAGCGUAGGUGGAUUGUUAAGUCAGUUGUGAAAUUUUGCGGCUCAACCGUGAAAUUGCAGUUGAAACUGGCAGUCUUGAGUACAGUAGAGGUGGGCGGAAUUCGUGGUGUAGCGGUGAAAUGCUUAGAUAUCACGAAGAACUCCGAUUGCGAAGGCAGCUCACUGGACUGCAACUGACACUGAGGCGCGAAAGUGUGGGUAUCAAACAGGAUUAGAUACCCUUGUAGUC
rnacentral:rRNA from 1 species